rnacentral:lncRNA from 1 species
UCAAGGGUUCGGUUGUUCGCCCAUUAAAGUGGUACGUGAGCUGGGUUCAAAACGUCAUGACAAAAGCCAAUUUUAACACGCCGUUUACUCGGCCAGCACGAUUUGCACCAUUAAUUGUAAAAGCAUUUUUAAAAAGUCUUUCAAUAUAAGUUUCAUCCAUAAACUUGCAUGUCAUGUGACAAAUUUGAAUGACUAUUCAAGCUCUACGAAAAGACUUUACUGAAAUAUUCUCAUAGGAUCUAGUAAGAAUAUGAUAAAAAAAUAUGCUUUUUU